rnacentral:antisense_RNA from 1 species
UGUAAUGGCGGCUGUAUGCGGGGCACUUUCGAGUGCGCCGAUUUUCUGUGAUCGGUCGACUAACCCUCAUACAGCUGCCACCCCU